rnacentral:lncRNA from 1 species
CUUUCUUUCUCCUGCUGUAGGCAUUCAGUGUGGCCCAGUAACCCCCCUGAUAUUUAUUAAAUGAAAUAAGACAAAAAGCAUUUAUUUUAUUGAAGGGAUUUGAGGACGUAACUAUUCGCCAGCUCUGCAAAGUUAAUAGAAGGAAGGCUGUUGCAGUUUUCAAGAUGUUUCAAAGAAGCAAAGAAACACCAGUUUGGAGGAAAAGUGUUUUGAGUUACCAAGUGUGUUCAAACAGUCAAAGAGAGGAAAUACAGAAGGAAAGGCUGGAAUUGAGGCUGCAGGUACCCAGUAUGAUCACCAGAAAUCAGCUCCACCAAACUUAACAGGAAUACGUUCUGGAUAGGCGCGCAGUGCUUCAUCCAUACCUAGGCCACAGGAACAAGUUUUAUUUUUCCCCAUUCCUACCCUUUCUCACUGAAAGACUAAAAUAAGAAAUAUGAUUGGAGUCUUUUUUCCAAAGGAAAUCUCUUUGCUUUUCAACCUCUGACACUCUUGUCUGAUUCAGAAAUAAGAAAAACGAUUUGAAAAAUAAAAAGACGUGUCCCCCCCCA